rnacentral:rRNA from 1 species
UGGGCAACCUGCCCCUCUCUCUGGGAUAACCCCCGGGGAAACCGGAGCUAAUACCGGAUACUCCGGCUGGAUCGCAUGGUCCGGCCGGGAAAGGUCCGCCGGAGAGGGAUGGGCCCGCGGCCUAUCAGCUUUGUUGGUGGGGUCAUGGCUCACCAAGGCGACGACGGGUAGCUGGUCUGAGAGGACGACCAGCCCACACGUGGAACUGAGAUACGGUCCAGACUCCGUACGGGAGCA